rnacentral:rRNA from 1 species
GACAGAGGUGGCAAGCGUUGUUCGGAUUUAUUGGGCGUAAAGGGCGCGUAGGUGGUCCUCCAAGUCGGUGGUGAAAUCCCGGGGCUUAACCCCGGAAUUGCCUUCGAUACUGUUGGACUUGAGUGCGGGAGAGGGUAGUGGAAUUCCCAGUGUAGAGGUGAAAUUCGUAGAUAUUGGGAAGAACACCAGUGGCGAAGGCAGCUACCUGGACCGCAACUGACACUGAGGCGCGAAAGCGUGGGGAGCAAACAGG